AGAGUUUGAUCCUGGCUCAGGAUGAACGCUAGCGGAACGCCUAACACAUGCAAGUCGAACGAGAGUUAUUUUGUAGCAAUACAGAGUAACAAAAGUGGCAAACGAGCGAGUAACGCGUACCUAACUUGCCCCCAAGCGAGGAACAACUAUAGAGAUAUAGCUAAUUCCUCAUAUGCUCACGAAGGUGAAAUUCCUCUGUGAGGAAAGGUUUACCACUUGGGGAGAGGGGUGCGUCCUAUCAGGUAGUUGGUGGGGUAAUAGCCUACCAAGCCUAUGACGGGUAGCCGGUCUGAGAUGAUGUCCGGCCGCGAUGGGACUGAGAUACGGCCCAUACUCCUACGGGAGGCAGCAGUGGGGAAUCUUGCACAAUGGACGAAAGUCUGAUGCAGCGAUUCCGCGUGGAGGAUGACGCAUCAUGGUGUGUAAACUCCUUUUCUGGUGGAAGACGAAUGACGGUACACCAGGAAUAAGAGACGGCUAACUACGUGCCAGCAGCCGCGGUAAUACGUAGGUCUCAAGCGUUAUCCGGAUUUACUGGGCGUAAAGUGUCCGUAGACUGAUAUACAAGUCCGUUUUCAAAUACUCCGACUCAAUCAGAGAAAGGGGAUGGAUACUGUACAUCUAGAAGUUAUUAGGGGUUAGUGGAAUUUCCGGUGGAGCGGUGAGAUGCGUUGAUAUCGGAAAGAACGCCGAAAGCGAAAGCAGCUAACUAUAAUAAACUUGACGUUGAGGGACGACAGCGUGGGGAGCAAACAGGAUUAGAUACCCUGGUAGUCCACGCCGUAAAUUAUGUCUGCUAGGUGUUUUCUCCAGUUCGCUGGGGGGAGUGCCGUAAUCUAACGAGUUAAGCAGAUCGCCUGGGUAGUAUACUCGCAAGAGUGAAACUCAAAGGGAUAGGCGGGGGAACACACAAGCAGUGGAUUAUCUAGAUUAAUUGGAUAACAAGCCAAGAAUCUUACCUAGAUUUGACAUGCAUCGUGUCUUCUAUGAAAGUAGAAUAUUUUGUAGCAAUACAAAAGCUUUGCACAGGUGGUGCAUGGUCGUCGUCAGCUCGUGCCGCAAGGUGUCUAGUUAAGUCUGGAAACGAGCGCAACCCUCAUACUUAGUUAGAAUGUCUAAGUAGACUGCCCGGGUAACCGGGAGGAAGGAGAGGAUGACGUCAGAUCCUCAUGCCCCUUACAUCUAGGGCUUCAUAGAUAAUACAAUGGGUAGUACAGCGAGAAGCAAUAUCGUGAGAUGGAGCAAAUCUUUAAAGCUACCCCUAGUUCGGAUUGUAGUCUGGAAUUCGACUACAUGAAGUUGGAAUUGCUAGUAAUGGCGAAUCAGCCAUGUCGCCGUGAAUAUGUCCCUGUUCCUUGCACUCA
rnacentral:rRNA from 1 species